rnacentral:rRNA from 1 species
UGGGGAAUUUUGCACAAUGGGGGAAACCCUGAUGCAGCGACGCCGCGUGAUUUAGAAGGCCUUCGGGUUGUAAAAAUCUUUUCUAUGGGAAGAAAAUGACAGUACCAUAGGAAUAAGGACCGGCUAAUUACGUGCCAGCAGCCGCGGUAAUACGUAAGGUCCGAGCGUUGUCCGGAAUCAUUGGGCGUAAAGGGUACGUAGGCGGGUAAGCAAGUUAGAAGUGAAAUCCUAUAGCUCAACUAUAGUAAGCUUUUAAAACUGCUCAUCUUGAGGUAUGGAAGGGAAAGUGGAAUUCCUAGUGUAGCGGUGCAAUGCGCAGAUAUUAGGAGGAAUACCGGUGGCGAAGGCGACUUUCUGGCCAUAACCUGACGCUGAGGUACGAAAGCGUGGGUAGCAAACAGG